CCGGGCGUGGCGGAAUUGGUAGACGCAACAGACUUAAAAUCUGUUGGGCGAAUGCCCGUGCCGGUUCGAUCCCGGCCGCCCGGA
rnacentral:tRNA from 1 species